AUGCGCUGCCCACAAGGCUAUGGCUCUGACAGAGGUCACUCUAUGCUCAGGAUACUAAAGUGGAAGACGCGAGUCAGGCCCCGGGUGAUGACCUCUCCCCCUCCGCCGCCUCCGGUCUUCGAGAUCUCCACCCGGAACCGCUGUGCUCCACUCCGUGAGACGGAACGCGACACUGUGAUCGUCGGAGACUCCAUCGUCUGACACGUCUAUACUAUGUUAGCCGAAGGAUUUACACAAGUUUCUGUCUGGAUCCAGAACACCUGAGAAGAGAUGAUGCCAGCCCCUCAGAGGACCUCAGAUGAUGCCAACCCUGAAACAACAUACAGAACUACCAAAUUUUGCUAUAAGUUUGAUUGCAUUAUAUAAUAAUUGCUGUUUAUAGUUUUCAUUGUCUGUUUGAUUACGUCUUUAAUUUAUUUUUCCGUACAUUUCUGCCAUAUGUAC
ensembl:lncRNA